rnacentral:sRNA from 1 species
CUUCCGCCACCUGCGGGCAGAUGAAAUGGACAUGGGCGUCGACGGCGCCCGCCGUGACGAUCCGCCCGUUGCCCGCGAUGAUCUCCGUCUCGGGGCCGAUCACCAGGUCCGGGUGCACUCCGUCCAUCGUGUCCGGAUUACCGGCCUUGCCGAUGGCGCUGAUCCGGCCGUCGCGGAUGCCGAUGUCGGCCUUGACGAUCCCCCAGUGAUCAAUGACGACGGCACCCGUGACCACGGUGUCCGGGGUCCCGUCCGCACGCGUGGCGCGCGACUGCCCCAUGGACUCACGGAUG